GAGGAAGGCACAAGCCACAGCCCUGUCCGAGGCGCUGAAGAUGCAGUCAGGAAUGUGACCCCUCCACGGAGAGCAGGCUGCAAGCCCCACACAUUGCUGUGGUAGGGGCUGGGGUAGAAUGCAUCAUGCAAUGACUGAGUGUGAGCCCUAAAUUGUGCCUGGACAGGCACAAAAGACUGAGGCUGAACCUGCUUCUCUUGGGGCUCGGAGGGGCUCAGAUGAGCUAGGGCAUGGAUGGGAGAUCUUUUUUUUUUCCAAAAAGAUUGGCACCUGAGCUAACAACUGUUGCCAAUCUUCUUCAUUUUUUUUUUUUUCCCUUUUUCUUCCCAAAGCCCCCCCACCUCCCCAGUACAUAGUUGUGUAUUCUAGCUGUAGGUCCUUCUGGUUGUGCUAUGUGGGACGCCACCUCAGCAUGGCCUGAUAAGCAGUGCCAUGUCUAUGCCUGGGAUCAGAACUGGCGAAACCCCGGGCUGCCAAAGCAGAGCGCGCAUGAACUUAACAACUCAGCCACGGGACCGGCCCUGGGAGAUCAUCUUCUUGAAUGCACACAGAGCCCAUGGGGUGGCUGCCUGCACAGCGCACAACCCAUGCCCUGAAGCGACCCUCUCCAAGAUCUCUUUGCUUAUUGGAUGAAGCUCUGCCUCCUCUCCCCCCAGCCCUGGUUCCCUUUGAGAAAUGCAAAGCACAGGAGCGGAAACCCAGAUGAUGUAAGGCUCCUGUUACCAAAAUGCAGCCCAGUGUUUCGUUGGUUCGGAUCCUGGGCGCGGACAUGACACUGCUCAUCAAACCACGCUGAGGCAGCGUCCCACAUGCCACAACUAGAAGAACCCACAACGAAGAAUACACAACUAUGUAUCGGGGGGCUUUGGGGAGAAAAAGGAAAAAAAAAAUAAAAUCUUUAAAAAAAAAUGUGAAGAUAUAAAGGGUCUAAUUUGAAAAGACUUCUCAUCACUGAUCCUGUUACCCUUCCUAGAGGCUGCCACUUGGCUGUUCUUUAAGAGAAAUUCCACACAUAAAAUACCCCAUCCCCACAAACAGCAGCAUUGUUCUGCUUGCCUUUUUCCUUAAUAAUACAUCUUGGAGAUAUACACAAAGAACUGGCUCUUUCUUUUUAAAGGCUACAGGGCACAUUACAUGUGAGUAAGGCCCUUAUUUAGCCAGGCCUCUCUGGAUGGACCUUCAGGUUGUUUCCAAUCUUUUAUUAAUGCAAACCAUGCUUCAACAAACACUUUGUUCAUCCUUUUUGCAUGUGGAUAAGGAAAUUCCUAAAAGCAGGACUAUAUGUGCAUUUUAAACUCUGAUAGCUAUCACUGUUUUAUUCAUUUUGUUAUAUGGAUGCAUCAUAGUUCAUUUGGCCAGUCCAUUCUUCU
rnacentral:lncRNA from 1 species